CAUCGGCCAUCACUAUCAAAUUCCUUCAGUUUUAUCCUCAAUGAAUACAUGGUCUGGCAAUUGACUGGAGGCAGAGGUUUGAGACGUGAUUGGUUGUUUACCAUUGUUUGUAGUUUUUAUUCUCCCAAAAUUCCUAUCGCUGAUUCAAAAUCCAUAUAAUACGGCGAGUGAGAUUGAAAAAUCCAUCCAAUGAGCAAGUGCAAAACAAGACGCAUUCCAAUCAGAGGUUUCAACAGGAAAUCCAAUUUGACGCAUUCUGAUCUCCUCCAUCCCCGAAUCCAUUAAUUUCCACCCCCAGGAUGGAGAAAUGCUUAGGGUUUACAAUGGAAUCGAAUCCCGGAAGAAGUUCUAGGUUGUUAGGACUUAGGUAUGUUGAAGAAAGGUUAGGAGGAGUAAAUUCAUGGGGUCAUGGUCACCAUCACCAUAGGAAGACCGAAGCAGAAAAUACCUUAUGCACUGAUACACAAAUGCAUGAUUAGUUUCACAAAGGCUCCUACAAAGACGGAGCCACUUUCAAGCCAAAGAAAACAUACAUACAACUCUCAAGUCGAUCCAUCCAAAUAAACGGGUAUUUUCAUGGAUGUUGGAUCUGCAAUCGCGCUCACUGUCCUAUUCCUCAUCAGCGGCGGCAAUAGUAGCGGUGCGAACGAUUCAAGAAGGUCAGAGAAGCAACUGGAAAUGAAAAGACAUCAAAUUUGUUUACAAUUCUUCUCUUCUCGAUCUUAUAUUUCACAGAGUGCGUACUCUCUCCCUCUCUCAGAUUAUGCACAUUUUAUCUGUUUUCUAUAAAUCUACUUGUGAUCGCAUUGAGUGAAAUCUGUAAUUGGAUAAAAGUGUGUCGCAUUUGAAAUUAUGCACUUCCUGU